UACGUAGGGGGCUAGCGUCGUCCGGAAUCAUUGGGCGUAAAGCGCGUGUAGGCGGUCCGGUAAGUCCGCUGUGAAAGUCGGGGGCUCAACCCUCGGAUGCCGGUGGAUACUGUCGGGCUUGAGUACGGAAGAGGCGAGUGGAAUUCCUGGUGUAGCGGUGAAAUGCGCAGAUAUCAGGAGGAACACCAAUUGCGAAGGCAGCUCGCUGGGACGUUACUGACGCUGAGACGCGAAAGCGUGGGGAGCAAACAGG
rnacentral:rRNA from 1 species